rnacentral:lncRNA from 1 species
AAAUUACUUUGGCUAAAAUGCAGAGCUCUUGUACAAGAGAAGUGGGAAACAACACUGGAGAAAAAUGGGGGCCAAUAUAUAAGGACUAGAAGGAAGGAUAGUAAAUACUUCAGGAACUCAGAGAACUAGCAGCUAACAUGAAGAUGGAAUGUGGCACUACCAAUCUAUUUCCUCUCACCUUUGCUGAAGAAAGACAUCCCAGAAGACUUCAUUUCUUAAAAUUGCAUCUGCUGACAAAUUCUAACAUGGUACUGGGGUGGCUGCCUUUCAUUCAACACAUGUCAAGGUGGGCCGUCCUUACCCCCUCUAGCCAAGCAGCUUUUCACAGCUGGACCUGGGCAUUUUCUGGAAUAAAAACAUAAACUGCAUAGCCAAGGAAUUUGCCCUCUGAAGCAAACAGCAUCCAAUCCAUCCUGUGGACAGCUCAAGGAGGAAAAAAAAAAUAAAAAAACCCGACAACAACCCA